rnacentral:rRNA from 1 species
UACGAAGGGGGGCUAGCGUUGCUCGGAAUCACUGGGCGUAAAGGGUGCGUAGGCGGGUCUUUAAGUCAGGGGGUGAAAUCCUGGAGCUCAACUCCAGAACUGCCUUCGAUACUGGAGAGCUUGAGUCCGGGAGAGGUGAGUGGAACUGCGAGUGUAGAGGUGAAAUUCGUAGAUAUUUCGCAAGAACACCAGUGGCGAAGGCGGCUCACUGGACCAUUACUGACGCUGAUGCACGAAAGCUAGGGGGAGCAAACAGG